UAACACGUGGGGAACCUGCCCCAUAGUCUGGGAUACCACUUGGAAACAGGUGCUAAUACCGGAUAAGAAAGCAGAUCGCAUGAUCAGCUUUUAAAAGGCGGCGUAAGCUGUCGCUAUGGGAUGGCCCCGCGGUGCAUUAGCUAGUUGGUAAGGUAAAGGCUUACCAAGGCGAUGAUGCAUAGCCGAGUUUAGAGACUGAUCGGCCACAUUGGGACUGAGACACGGCCCAAACUCCUACGGGAGGCAGCAGCC
rnacentral:rRNA from 1 species